UACGGAGGAUGCGAGCGUUAUCCGGAUUUAUUGGGUUUAAAGGGUGCGUAGGCGGCUUAGUAAGUCAGCGGUGAAAUUUUGCAGCUUAACUGUAACAGUGCCGUUGAUACUGCCAGGCUAGGAUUUGGUUGCUGUGGGUGGAAUGUGUGGUGUAGCGGUGAAAUGCUUAGAUAUUACACAGAACACCGAUUGCGAAGGCAGCUUACUAAGCUAUAACUGACGCUGAGGCACGAAAGCAUGGGGAGCAAACAGGAUUAGA
rnacentral:rRNA from 1 species